UUAACCUUCGUCUCGGGAAUGGGGAGUGUAUUCGUUGUUCGACCCACGUGAAAGUGAAAAACAGAUUUGCUUGAGGGCAAGCAAACGACAAGUGUGGGGAUGUGAUACGUGGUCGAAAACCGGUGAUCGUUUAUGCUUAAGUUGAUGUCUAAAAGAGUUUAAGGAGCUAAUCGGGAGCUAAACGGAGCACCGGGACGCGAACGGAUCAACCGGGGAUGUGAAAUGAAGAAAACCGGGUUAAUCACUAAGAAUGGAUGUAUUUUGGGGAAUGUUGAUGGAUUUAAAAUGAAUAUAUUGGAAGAUGGCAUGAUAGAGGGCUGAAUUACGAGAACGUGGGCGAAAACGAUGGCAUGAUAGAGGGCUGAAUUACGAGAACGUGGGCGAAAACGGUGAGUAAAACGGAGCUAUAACGAAAAAGUUAUGAAGAAAACAGUUUUGGACGAAACCGACAAAACCAGGCAGCGUCGGGGACGCCCAAAAGGGCCGUCGGCGACGCCCUCUGGAUUGUUCCGUCGGCCAAAAACCUCCGUAAACAGCUAAUUAAGCCGUCGGGCGAAACUGAGACUUCCAAGGGCCGUCGGGGACGCCCUAAAUGGCCGUCGGCGACGCCAUCUGCAUUCUCAUAUCGCGAAAAUACUUGAUUUUUGAGUUGGGGACGAGUUAUAACAUCAAUUUUGACCAAGAAACGGGGGUUACACAUUAUUUUGAAGUUUGAAUAUCAUCUUGGGGCCCCUAAUCACCAUCUUCACCUACCAUUCCACCAACCAUCCUCUCUACAACCCGAAUCAAGAACAAUUC
rnacentral:lncRNA from 1 species